rnacentral:rRNA from 1 species
CCCUACGGGGCGCAGCAGUAGGGAAUAUUGGGCAAUGGGCGCAAGCCUGGCCCAGCCAUGCCGCGUGCAGGACGAAGGCGUUAUGCGUUGUAAACUGCUUUUAUACAGGAAGAAAAAGGCCAUGCGUGGCAAACUGACGGUACUGUAUGAAUAAACACCGGCUAACUCCGUGCCAGCAGCCGCGGUAAUACGGAGGGUGCAAGCGUUGUCCGGAUUUAUUGGGUUUAAAGGGUGCGUAGGCGGCUUUUUAAGUCAGCGGUGAAAGCCGGUCGCUCAACGACCGAACUGCCAUUGAUACUGAUUAGCUUGAGUUUGAUUGAGGCAGCCGGAAUGGAUAGUGUAGCGGUGAAAUGCAUAGAUAUUAUCCAGAACGCCAAUUGCGUAGGCAGGUUGCUAAGUCAUUACUGACGCUGAGGCACGAGAGUGCGGGGAUCAAACAGGAUUAGAUACCCCAGUAGUC